rnacentral:rRNA from 1 species
GACGAACGCUGGCGGCGUGCUUAACACAUGCAAGUCGAACGGAAAGGCCCUGCUUUUGUGGGGUGCUCGAGUGGCGAACGGGUGAGUAACACGUGAGUAACCUGCCCUUGACUUUGGGAUAACUUCAGGAAACUGGGGCUAAUACCGGAUAGGAGCUCCUGCUGCAUGGUGGGGGUUGGAAAGUUUCGGCGGUUGGGGAUGGACUCGCGGCUUAUCAGCUUGUUGGUGGGGUAGUGGCUUACCAAGGCUUUGACGGGUAGCCGGCCUGAGAGGGUGACCGGCCACAUUGGGACUGAGAUACGGCACAGACUCCUACGGGAGGCAGCAGGGGGGAAUAUUGCACAAUGGGCGGAAGCCUGAUGAAGCAAAGCCGCGUGCGGGAUGACGGCCUUCGGGUUGUAAACCGCUUUCGCCUGUGACGAAGCGUGAGUGACGGUAAUGGGUAAAGAAGCACCGGCUAACUACGUG